AUUAAAAGAUUAAUAUUAUUAAUAGAUUUAAUUUUAGUCUUCUAAACUAAAUUUGAGUGGAAUCCUCGUCUAUUUUUAUUU
rnacentral:tRNA from 1 species